CGAAAAGAAGGUGGCAAUGCUAGACAAAAUGAAAUGAUGCAGGAAUUCCGUAAGUGCUUGAGUGACUGUAACCUGGAGGAUAUGGGCUGUGUUGGUGAUCCAUUCACUUGGAGAAGGGGGGAUAUCCGUGAAAGGCUUGAUCGAGCUGUCUGUAAUUUAGAAUGGGCAAAUAAAUUCCCGCAUGUUGUCAUUAUUAAUGGGGAUCAUGUACACUCAGACCAUUGUCCUUUAAUCCUUGACACAGAUUAUUUUGAUAGUAACUUGUUUAAUCAUCGGAAUGGUCAUGUGAGACAAUUUGAAGCAAAAUGGACGAAAGAAGAUACUGUUGAGGAUAUUGUGAAGACUGCUUGGGAAAAAACAAAGUUGGCGGGUAUUGGUCCCUCUCUCGCAGCACGGACUAGAGCAGUGCAUGAUGAUUUACAUUCUUGGGACCGUAUAACUUUGAAAGGACCAAAGAGGAGAAUAAAUAAGUUAAAAAAGAACUAG
rnacentral:rRNA from 1 species